GACGAACGCUGGCGGCGUGCUUAACACAUGCAAGUCGAACGAAGUGGCGAACGGGUGAGUAACGCGUAAUCAACCUGCCCUUCAGAGGGGGACAACAGUUGGAAACGACUGCUAAUACCGCAUACUGAAGGCGGGGGUUGCGUCUGGUUUGCUAGUUGGCGGGGUAACGGGCCACCAAGGCGAUGAUCAGUAGCCGGGCUGGGGGGUGGGACGGCCACAUUGGGACUGAGAACCGGCCCAGACUCCCUCGGGAGGCAGCAGUGGGGAAUCUUCCGCAAUGGACGAAAGGCUGACGGAGCAAAGCCGCGGGAGUGAUGACGGCCUUCGGGUUGUAAAGCUCUGUUAAUCGGGACGCGGUACCGGAAUAGAAAGCCACGGCUAACUACGUGCCAGCAGCCGCGGUAAUUC
rnacentral:rRNA from 1 species